AACAGUAGAUGUUGCAUGACAUUUGCUUAAAAGGUGCAAUUGCAUCACUACCAGAUGGACCUGCGUUGUAUUAGCUAGUUGGUGGGGUAACGGCUCACCAAGGCGACGAUACAUAGCCGACCUGAGAGGGUGAUCGGCCACACUGGGACUGAGACACGGCCCAGACUCCUACGGGAGGCAGCAGUAGGGAAUCUUCGGCAAUGGACGGAAGUCUGACCGAGCAACGCCGCGUGAGUGAAGAAGGUUUUCGGAUCGUAAAGCUCUGUUGUAAGAGAAGAACGAGUGUGAGAGUGGAAAGUUCACACUGUGACGGUAUCUUACCAGAAAGGGACGGCUAACUACGUGCCAGCAGCCGCGGUAAUACGUAGGUCCCGAGCGUUGUCCGGAUUUAUUGGGCGUAAAGCGAGCGCAGGCGGUUAGAUAAGUCUGAAGUUAAAGGCUGUGGCUUAACCAUAGUACGCUUUGGAAACUGUUUAACUUGAGUGCAAGAGGGGAGAGUGGAAUUCCAUGUGUAGCGGUGAAAUGCGUAGGUAUAUGGAGGAACACCGGUGGCGAAAGCGGCUCUC
rnacentral:rRNA from 1 species